UACGAAGGGGGCUAGCGUUGUUCGGAAUUACUGGGCGUAAAGCGCACGUAGGCGGAUUUGUAAGUCAGGGGUGAAAUCCCGGGGCUCAACCUCGGAACUGCCUUUGAUACUGCAAGUCUCGAGUCCGAUAGAGGUGAGUGGAAUUCCUGGUGUAGCGGUGAAAUGCGCAGAUAUCAGGAGGAACACCGACGGCGAAGGCAGCACUCUGGGCCGGUACUGACGCUGAGGAGCGAAAGCAUGGGGAGCGAACAGG
rnacentral:rRNA from 1 species